ACGAGAAAUUCCGUCGGACUCCGGGAGGACCAUCUCCCAAGGCUAAAUACUCCCUAGGGACCGAUAGUGAACCAGUACCGUGAGCGAAAGGUGAAAAGCACCCCGGAAGGGGAGUGAAAUAGAACCUGAAACCGUGUGCCUACAACAAGUCAAAGCCCGAUAAUGGGUGAUGGCGUGCCUUUUGUAGAAUGAACCGGCGAGUUACGAUAGCAUGCGAGGUUAAGUUGAAGAGACGGAGCCGCAGCGAAAGCGAGUCUGAAUAGCGCGUUUGAGUAUGUAGUCGUAGA
rnacentral:rRNA from 1 species